AGAGUUUGAUCAUGGCUCAGGAUGAACGCUGGCGGCGUGCCUAAUACAUGCAAGUCGAGCGAACAGAUAAGGAGCUUGCUCCUUUGACGUUAGCGGCGGACGGGUGAGUAACACGUGGGUAACCUACCUAUAAGACUGGGAUAACUUCGGGAAACCGGAGCUAAUACCGGAUAAUAUUUCGAACCGCAUGGUUCGAUAGUGAAAGAUGGUUUUGCUAUUACUUAUAGAUGGACCCGCGCCGUAUUAGCUAGUUGGUAAGGUAACGGCUUACCAAGGCGACGAUACGUAGCCGACCUGAGAGGGUGAUCGGCCACACUGGAACUGAGACACGGUCCAGACUCCUACGGGAGGCAGCAGUAGGGAAUCUUCCGCAAUGGGCGAAAGCCUGACGGAGCAACGCCGCGUGAGUGAUGAAGGUCUUCGGAUCGUAAAACUCUGUUAUUAGGGAAGAAUAUACGUGUAAGUAACUAUGCACGUCUUGACGGUACCUAAUCAGAAAGCCACGGCUAACUACGUGCCAGCAGCCGCGGUAAUACGUAGGUGGCAAGCGUUAUCCGGAAUUAUUGGGCGUAAAGCGCGCGUAGGCGGUUUUUUAAGUCUGAUGUGAAAGCCCACGGCUCAACCGUGGAGGCUCAUUGGAAACUGGAAAACUUGAGUGCAGAAGAGGAAAGUGGAAUUCCAUGUGUAGCGGUGAAAUGCGCAGAGAUAUGGAGGAACACCAGUGGCGAAGGCGACUUUCUGGUCUGUAACUGACGCUGAUGUGCGAAAGCGUGGGGAUCAAAC
rnacentral:rRNA from 1 species